UAGAAAAAUUAGAAGAUUCUGUUGGGAAUCUAAAAAAAUUAGAACAUUCAAUGGAAAAUUUAGAAAAUUCAGUUGGUAAGCAAAGUACACUUAUGUUUCUUUUUGUUUAAUUUUAACACACAUUUUUUGAUGUUUGUGUGCGGUUUUAUCACUGUAAAAUAAACUGUUUAAUUGAUUAGUAUAUGUUAGUUUAUGUAAAUACAUUUUUUAC
rnacentral:lncRNA from 1 species